rnacentral:rRNA from 1 species
AGUCUGGCCUGCCCACUGUGGGUUUAAAAGGCCGCCGUAUCAUGACCGUGCGAAGGUAGCAUAAUCAUUAGUCUUUUAAUUGGAGGCUGGCAUGAAUGGUUGGACGAGAAAUUAGCUGUCUUAAGUUUUGAAAAUUGAAUUUAACUUUUAAGUGAAAGGGCUUAAAUGGGCCAGGGGGACGAUAAGACCCUAUAAAGUUUGUACACUAAACUAAUUUAGAGUGAUUUAGGUUUAUAAAGGUUAUUAUUAGAAAGGUGUUUAGUUGGGGCGACUAGGAUAUAAGUUAUCUAACUGUUUCUUUGUUAUAAUCAAAAAUAUUUGAGUUUAUGAUCCUUUUUUAGGAUUAUAGAGUAAAUUACUUUAGGGAUAACAGCGUAAUUUUUUUUGAGAGUUCUUAUCGAUAAAAGAGUUUGCGACCUCGAUGUUGAAUUAAAAUUUCUUUGUAAUGCAGCAGUUACAUGAGAGGGUCUGUUCGACCUUUAAAAUUUUACAUGAUUUGAGUUCAGACCGGCGUGAGCCAGGUUGGUUUU